ACGAACGCUGGCGGCGUGGAUUAGGCAUGCAAGUCGAACGAGGAUAUAUCCUUCGGGAUAUAAGCCGAGUGGCGCAAGGGUGAGUAAUGCAUAGAUUACCUGCCUCUAGGAUAAGGACAACUUUGUGAAAACGAAGCUAAUACUUAAUAAUACAAAAGAAAAUAAUUUUCUUUUGUCAAUGGGAGGGUAGCAAUACCUUUUGCCUGGAGAGGGGUUUAUGUCCUAUCAGCUUGUUGGUGGGGUAAUGGCCUACCAAGGCGAAGACGGGUAGCCGGUCUUAGAGGAUGGUCGGCCACACUGGGACUGAGACACUGCCCAGACUUCUACGGAAGGCUGCAGUCGAGAAUCUUUCGCAAUGCCCGAAAGGGUGACGAAGCGACGCCGCGUGGGUGAGGAAGGCCUUCGGGUUGUAAAGCCCUGUCAGGAGUUAAGAAAUGUAAGUGCGCUAAUAUCGCAUUUAUUUGACGAAGGCUCCAAAGGAAGCCACGGCUAACUCUGUGCCAGCAGCCGCGGUAAUACAGAGGUGGCAAGCGUUGUUCGGAAUUAUUGGGCGUAAAGAGCACGUAGGUGGGUUUGUAAGUCAGAUGUGAAAGCCUUCUGUUCAACGGAAGAAUUGCAUCUGAAACUGCGAGUCUUGAGUGUAGGAGGGGAGAAUGGAACUUCUGGUGGAGCGGUGAAAUGCGUAGAUAUCAGAAGGAACGCCGGCGGCGAAAGCGAUUCUCUGGCCUAUUACUGACACUCAGUGUGCGAAAGCUAGGGGAGCAAACGGGAUUAGAUACCCCGGUAGUCCUAGCCGUAAACGAUGGGCACUAAGUAGAGGGAAUUACCGAUGUUCUCUCUGCCGUAGCUAACGCAUUAAGUGCCCCGCCUGGGGAGUACGGCCGCAAGGCUAAAACUCAAAAGAAUUGACGGGGGCCCGCACAAGCGGUGGAGCAUGUGGUUUAAUUCGACGCAACGCGAAGAACCUUACCUGAACUUGACAUGCACGGGACCGCUCUAGAAAUAGAGUUUCUCUUCGGAGCCCGUGUGCAGGUGCUGCAUGGCUGUCGUCAGCUCGUGUCGUGAGAUGUUGGGUUAAGUCCCGCAACGAGCGCAACCCCUACCUUUAGUUGCCAUCGGGUCAUGCCGGGGACUCUAGAGGGACUGCCGGUGAUAAACCGGAGGAAGGUGGGGAUGACGUCAAGUCCUCAUGGCCUUUAUGUUCAGGGCUACACACGUGCUACAAUGGCCGGUACAAAGAGUCGCAAGACCGCGAGGUGGAGCUAAUCUCAUAAAGCCGGUCUCAGUUCGGAUUGGAGUCUGCAACUCGACUCCAUGAAGUUGGAAUCGCUAGUAAUCGUAGAUCAGCAUGCUACGGUGAAUACGUUCCCGGGCCUUGUACACACCGC
rnacentral:rRNA from 1 species